rnacentral:rRNA from 1 species
CGCUAGCUACAGGCUUAACACAUGCAAGUCGAGGGGCAGCAUGGACUCAGCUUUGCUGAGUUUGAUGGCGACCGGCGCACGGGCGAGUAACGCGUAUCCCACCUGCCCUUUACUCCGGGAUAGUCUCCUGAAAGGGAGUUUAAUACCGGAUGUGUUUGUUUUUCCGCAUGGGAGCGACAAAUAAAGAUUAAUUGGUAAAGGAUGGGGAUGCGUCCCAUUAGCUUGUUGGCGGGGUAACGGCCCACCAAGGCGACGAUGGGUAGGGGUUCUGAGAGGAAGGUCCCCCACAUUGGAACUGAGACACGGUCCAAACUCCUACGGGAGGCAGCAGUGAGGAAUAUUGGUCAAUGGGCGGGAGCCUGAACCAGCCAAGUAGCGUGAAGGACGACGGCCCUACGGGUUGUAAACUUCUUUAUAAGGGAAUAAAGUUCGCCACGCGUGGUGUUUUGUAUGUACCUUAUGAAUAAGCAUCGGCUAAUUCCGUGCCAGCAGCCGCGGUAAUACGGAAGAUGCGAGCGCUAUCCGGAUUUAUUGGGUUUAAAGGGAGCGUAGGCGGGCUUUUAAGUCAGCGGUCAAAUGCCACGGCUCAACCGUGGCCAGCCGUUGAAACUGUAAGCCUUGAGUCUGCACAGGGCACAUGGAAUUCGUGGUGUAGCGGUGAAAUGCUUAGAUAUCACGAAGAACUCCGAUCGCGAAGGCAUUGUGCCGGGGCAGCACUGACGCUGAGGCUCGAAAGUGCGGGUAUCAAACAGGAUUAGAUACCCUGGUAGUCCGCACGGUAAACGAUGAAUGCUCGCUAUGGGCGAUAUAUUGUCCGUGGCCAAGCGAAAGCGUUAAGCAUUCCACCUGGGGAGUACGCCGGCAACGGUGCAACUCAAAUGAAUUGACGG